rnacentral:lncRNA from 1 species
AAUAGAAUAUAUACAAGAUAGCAUUAUAACACAAAAUUUAAAAACAUAAUAAUGUAAGAUUGUUCACGAUAAUUAAAUCUUUUUCAUGCCUAAAUUUCAUUAGAAAGAAAAAGAUGAAGACGGUGAGACAUAAUGUGAAAUCCCAUCCCUGGAUUUCACUAUUUAAAAUUACGUAUCUCGUAUUUCAUAUUCGUAUUCGUAGGUUCAAUGCUUUUUUAUUUACGGCGUAUAGUUUUUUUUAUAAGUAAAAGGACGAAAAU